GGUCUGGUGGCGCAACCGGUAGUGUGCCGUCGCAGAGUACACGAUUCCGUACUCUUCAGAAUAGAGGUCCUUGUUCGAUUCAAGGCCAGGCCC